GAUGAAGAACGCAGCGAAGUGCGAUAAGUAAUGUGAAUUGCAGAAUUCAGUGAAUCAUCGAAUCUUUGAACGCACAUUGCGCCCGCCAGUAUUCUGGCGGGCAUGCCUGUCUGAGCGUCAUUUCAACCCUCAAGCAACUUCUGCUUGGUGUUGGGGAUCGGCCGUUAAACGCCGCCCCCGAAAUCUAUUGGCGAUCUCGCUGUAGCUUCCUAUGCGUAGUAGUAACAUCUCGCAUCUGGAGAGCGGCGCGGUCAUGCCGUAAAACACCCAACUUCUCAGGUUGACCUCAGAUCAGGUAGGAAUACCCGCUGAACUUAAGCAUAUCAAUAAGCGGAGGA
rnacentral:misc_RNA from 1 species